rnacentral:rRNA from 4 species
AAAUUGAAGAGUUUGAUCAUGGCUCAGAUUGAACGCUGGCGGCAGGCCUAACACAUGCAAGUCGAACGGUAACAGGAAGCAGCUUGCUGCUUUGCUGACGAGUGGCGGACGGGUGAGUAAUGUCUGGGAAACUGCCUGAUGGAGGGGGAUAACUACUGGAAACGGUGGCUAAUACCGCAUAACGUCGCAAGACCAAAGAGGGGGACCUUCGGGCCUCUUGCCAUCAGAUGUGCCCAGAUGGGAUUAGCUUGUUGGUGAGGUAACGGCUCAC